GGCGAGUCUGAGUACAGUGAUAUUUACAACUAAUUGACGAUAACAAGUUAUAGAUUUCCUUGCUCCUUCUCCCACUCCACUUGACUAGCAAAA
rnacentral:Y_RNA from 1 species